CCUGCGGCAGCAAUGGCGGCGGCGGCGGACUCGACGAGGUCGUGGAGCUGCGCGUGCGUGAGAUCGAGCUUGCCGGGGACGAGGAGGGCGCGCCGGCCGGGGAAUUUCUCCGCGGCCUCCUUCAGAAGCCCAGUUAGGGAGGGGACUUGGCCGUGCUGCGACGCGUGCGAGGGAUGGGUGAGCAGUGAUUCCCGGGUAGUUGGCGCUCGCGCCACCUCCGGGCCCGCGAGCUGCUGCCACGUGUGCGUCCCUUCGCGGCCUGGAACGUGGAAAGUCGUACGUGCACCUGGUGCGCCAUUACGCCCUGUGUACCGCCCUUCUUAAUCUCAGCUAAAUCCUUGCAAGUGGAGUGGUGGCAUUAUCUGGAGCAGGGAAGAUUGAUUUUUUUGGAUUCUGGCUGCUUCUGGACGCGGGCGCUUCGUUUUUCUGUUGCAACCUCCACCACUUGUACCUUUUCUAGCUUUUUAAUGAAAAAGAAGACAAUCCAAUGAUGUUAUUGGCGCAUCCGGAGAUAGGACCAGGCUAGAAUACUGUUAAUAAUAAAUUAAUUAUUUAUAUUAUUAAAUUUUUAAUUUUUGGAUGAA